rnacentral:rRNA from 1 species
GUCCACGCCGUAAACGAUGGAUGCUAGCCGUCAGCAAGCAUGCUUGUUGGUGGCGCAGCUAACGCAUUAAGCAUCCCGCCUGUGGAGUACGGCCGCAAGGUUAAAACUCAAAGGAAUUGACGGGGGCCCCGCACAAGCGGUGGAGCAUGUGGUUUAAUUCGACGCAACGCGAAGAACCUUACCAGCCCUUGACAUGUCCGGACGGUUUCCAGAGAUGGAUUCCUCCUAGCAAUAGGUCGGAACACAGGUGCUGCAUGGCUGUCGU